rnacentral:lncRNA from 1 species
GGACUUCCCACGUUUUCCUCAGUGCCCCCGUGCUGCAGCUCUUCUUCAGGCUGGAAUGGUUGGGGUUCCUUCUGCAUCCAUCUGAUGUAGUGGCAUCUCAAAGGCUUUGCGCAGAGGGGAGGAGCGGCAUCCCCAGCGGACUUGGACAGAAGAGGAAGUAAGAUGGAGCUCUGGACUGGACCCCAGCCGCUCUCUGCCUCUGGCCGUCUUAGCCUGCCGUGGAGAAAAGCACGUGCUUCCCUAGCACUAUCGUGGUUUGACUCGUGCUUUAAAUACUCUCGGCUCUCUCAUUUUGUUUGAUUAAAUUUAGUAAAAUACCAUUCCU